rnacentral:rRNA from 1 species
UACGUAGGGUGCAAGCGUUGUCCGGAAUUAUUGGGCGUAAAGAGCUCGUAGGCGGUUUGGUAAGUCUUAUGUGAAAUCUACAGGCUCAACUUGUAGUCUGCAUGAGAAACUGCCGGGCUUGAGUAUGGGAGAGGUGAGUGGAAUUCCUGGUGUAGCGGUGAAAUGCGUAGAUAUCAGGAGGAACACCUGUGGCGAAAGCGGCUCACUGGACCAUAACUGACGCUGAUGCACGAAAGCUAGGGGAGCAAACAGG